rnacentral:rRNA from 1 species
CCUACGGGCGGCAGCAGUGGGGGAUAUUGCACAAUGGGGGAAACCCUGAUGCAGCGACGCCGCGUGAGUGAAGAAGUAUUUCGGUAUGUAAAGCUCUAUUAGCAGGGAAGAAAAUGACAGUACGUGACCACGUAGCCCCGGGUAACUACGUGCCAGCAGCCGCGGGAAUACGUAGGGGGCCAGCGUUAUGCGGAUUUACUGGGUGUAAAGGGAGCGUAGACGGUUAUGUAGGUCUGGAGUGAAAGCUAGGGGCCCAACCCCGGGACUGCUUUUGAAACUGUGUGACUGGAGUACAGGAGGGGCAGGCGGAAUUCCUGGUGUAGCGGUGAAAUGCGUAGAUAUCAGGAAGAACACCGGCUGCGAAGGCGGCCUACUGGACUGAAACUGACGUUGAGGCUCGAAAGCGUGGGGAGCAAACAGGAUUAGAUACCCCAGUAGUC